rnacentral:rRNA from 1 species
UACGUAGGUGACGAGCGUUAUCCGGAAUUAUUGGGCGUAAAGCGCACGCAAGCGGCUCCGCAAGUCUGACGUGAAAUCUCUUGGCUUAACUGGGAGGGGUCGUUGGAAACUAGGGAGCUUGAGGCGAUGAGAGGGGUGCAGAAUUCCCGGUGUAGUGGUGGAAUGCGUAGAGAUCGGGAGGAAUACCUGUGGCGAAAGCGGCACCCUGGCGUCGUACUGACGCACAUGUGCGAAAGCGUGGGGAGCGAACGGG